rnacentral:rRNA from 1 species
UACAGAGGUCCCGAGCGUUGUUCGGAUUCACUGGGCGUAAAGGGUGCGUAGGUGGUAGGGUAAGUCGGAUGUGAAAGCUCGGAGCUCAACUCCGAAAAGGCAUUGGAAACUGCCCUGCUAGAGGGUCGGAGGGGGGACUGGAAUUCUCGGUGUAGCAGUGAAAUGCGUAGAUAUCGGGAGGAACACCAGAGGCGAAGGCGGCCACCUGGACAGACACUGACGCUGAGACGCGAAAGCGUGGGGAGCAAACAGG